rnacentral:rRNA from 1 species
CUAACAAGGAUUCCCCCAGUAACGGCGAGUGAAGCGGGAACAGCUCAAAUUUGAAAUCUCCGGUGCUUGCACCGGCGAGUUGUAGUUGCGAGAAGCACUUUCUAGGUGGAUCGGUCGUGCCUAAGUUGCUUGGAACAGCAUGUCGCAGAGGGUGACAACCCCGUCUGUGGCGCGACCGGCCGCUGACGAUGUGCUUUCGAAGAGUCGGGUUGUUUGGGAAUGCAGCCCAAAAUGGGUGGUAAACUCCAUCUAAAGCUAAAUACUGGCGUGAGACCGAUAGCGAAGGAAACGAAUGGACUCAGCAAUGCGCCGUUUGAGAUUCAGCCGGUGGCCGGGAUCGGCGCGGGGUUUGCGGAUCUGAAUGGACCGCGGCCUGGCGCUCGUUUCUGCUCGCCGUCGCACUUCUCUUGGGCGCGCGUCAACGUCGGUUGGGACUGGGUUUGAAAGGUGCCGGGAAGGUAGGUCUGGACCUUCGGGUUCGGUCUGUUACAGCCCGGUUCUCUCAUGGCUCGGGCCCGACCGAGGAGUCGCAGCGCAUGCCUCUUGUGGCUAGGGUGCCGUCCUUCCGGCCGGUUGUCGAACGUGGUGGACUGCUUGCAGUGCUCCGCGACUGCUGCCGGUCGUUGGGGUGGUGAUCU